GCCCUGUGUGUUUGCAAAGCGAAAUAGAAGUUGUUUGGUCUUAGAGAUGAUUGAGGCAUUUCUUUGUGUAGCCUGUAUAAUUGUGAAUCCACCUGUAUAUAUUGCCAUAGUUAACCCCUUUGAGCCUGAAGCUUGUUCUUUGAUAACCCUAUAAUGACCUAUAUCCAUGUGUUUGAAUAGUUUGACUGUUUGAACCUGUACCUCUUAAAAGCACUUGAAUUACUAAAGAACAUACAAAAGUCAAAGAAUAGGGUUGUAAGGAAGUAGGGAAAAGGGGAAUCAGGAAAGAAAUACUUGAAUGGUGCAAUGGAUUUGUAGAAGAAAGAAAAAAAAUAAAACAAAACAAAAAAAAAGAAAAAAAAAGCCAGUUGCACCUAAAGAAAAAUGGGGUUCACCUAUGAACUAAAAUGUGGAAGAACGCUUGAGCUGAG
rnacentral:lncRNA from 1 species